GUGCAUGUGUGUUUUUGUUCUCUUUGUUUUGAGUAGAAUUGUUGGUCAAAUCCUGGCCUCCAAAUUUCUUAAGAUGCCAGUUACUGUAGUUGAUUACGACCCAUCGAAUGGCAAGUGGAAUAUCAUUCAACAACAAAAUAUGCUUUAUGAAAGAACAAGAAUUUUGAAUGGCUCUGCCUCUUCUAUGAGUGUUGCCAACCGGUCCUUGGAUAAUCUAAACUUUGGAUCUUCAAGUGAAAGUCAAAUCUGAAGAUGAUAACUUGUGGAAUGACCUUGCAGAGUUUUAUACUUGUGAACGUUAUAAUGUCUCUUCUUAUGAUGGAGUUUCAAUUCCUCUUAACUAUCAUACAUUCACGCAAACAUAACUAUGCAUAUCAAAACCCUGGGUUGCUUCAUGGGCAUGGAGCUUAUGGGCAUGGAGCUUAGGGUGAGUUACUUGACAAAAGAUGGUGUAGUGAGUUGAAAAGCCUUCUUGAUCGGGGCUGGGUUAUUGCAUAUGCCAAUCUUAGCUGAAUUUGAAGAGUUUGAAUACCCAGGGGAACGAGGACAUCAAUAUUUUUCAUGCCACAAGGAAAUAUCUUCUAUAUAUGGCAAUGUUCAGAAGAAUGUCCUUUACCCUCCUAUAUUGAUAACCUCAUCUUUUAACACACGGUAAUCUCCUCACACGCUCUGCUGGCUUCGUUCAUGGUCAAUACAAACAAUCGUGAACUUGUUGGAUUAUUGAAAAUCCAAACCAUUUCUAGUUGAUGCAUAUUUGUAAUCUUGAAACGUGGUUAUGACGUGUCAAAUAGGUAGGACUUAAAUAUGGCAGGGAGGUACUGAGGUUUCUCCUGAUAUUCGAAAUUUAUCAGCUGUCCUUUCUUCUAUUUGGUAACUUCGUAAGUUCUUAUGCUUUUGGUUUGAUAAUGAUGGAUACUUUUUAUUUUUUCCUUAGAUGUGAUCUUAUUUCUCAUUCAAUGCUUGAAGAAUUAAGUUCCAAUAAUUGAUUCUAAUGUGCAUAGGUUUGAUCUGAGAUGAGAUUUUCUCCUUUCAGCUGGAUAAGGGUGGACUUUAUGGAAGAUGGAUAAUGAUGAAAAUGAGCAAUUUCAUUAUAUCGAUGGGUGGACUUCAUUGAGAUUCAUUAUUGAGAUAUAUUCAUUGAUGUGUAUUCUUAAUGUGUAAUCUGAAAAGCUGGAUAAUGGGUGGACUUUAUUGAGAUACUUAUUAUAUUGAUGGGUGCAAUGAGUUUGUUUCAAGCAUAUGCCUACAUGACUGGUUGUAUCAUUCAUUUGAUGUGAGGUCACUGGAUAUGUGGCAAAAGAUCUUGAGCAUAUCUUCCUAUCUAUGAAGAUUAAUGCCCAUUUGACUGAACAAAAUAUAUUUUUUUUCCUGCUUUAGUAUAAAUAUUUAUGAUGACAAAGUGAAUCUGCUUUUCAUCUUCUAGAAAUAAUUUUUUUUUUUUUAGCGUUUGCUUUUGUCAUGAGUGAGGUGUUCAUACUUUCAUCUUCAUUGAAUCUUUCUGAUUUUUAUGACAG
rnacentral:misc_RNA from 1 species